CGCCUCGGCCUCUGUCACCUCACUAAACGCUAAUCGGAAUCAUCAGAAACUCCGACCACUGCCCGUCUCUUACGAUGCCUUCUUUUCGGAGGUUUGGAACGCUCUGAAUAACGGACUCGCCUCGCACCUUUUUGGGGAGAAAAUCAGGGGCAUGUAGCUAAUGAUUUAGCCAAGGGCACUGUGGGUUGGUUAGAUUGGAGAUCACAGUGUUGGCUCGAUUAGAUUUAGCAUGGUAUAUUGAGCAGAGGGAGGAGCAUCGGUCCUGGAUUGACUUCGCCCGAUUUACGCUAAAUCUUCUGCCCCUUGGGUUGCAUAUACCACUUACCUAACUUGCAUUAUCAACUCAAGUUUGCUGUUUCUGUGGACUCUUGGCGAAUCGAGUGAACCAGGGACUUUUUCUGAAUCAUACGUACUCACUUGUCUUGCCACUACUUUGGCAACCGUUGAGGAUGCAUGCAACAUUUUAUCUGUUACGUUUUAAAAUGAAAAUGAAAAUGAGGGACUUGAUACUUGAAUUGCAGGUAUCAAUAUCCCGUCUAUCUAGAUGUCACGAUCAUGGUAAGAAAAACGCGAUUGCAUCUGCUUUGUGAUCAAUUGGAUUCUGAGUUACAAUUUUCUUUCUUCUCUGUUUUUAAAUUUUUAGAUAAGCAAUCUUCAUACUUCUGGUUGUAUUAGUAUUGGAUCUGUGUUGCGACAGGAAAAGUUGAUGUCUCAUGUUGACAUGAGAUCCAUUCUGUCCUCUAGUUAUUUGAUCAUGAUUUUUUUUGCUUCAAUAGAUAAGUUAGAUGAACUAAACUGAUGGAAAAUGUGGGUUUGUUAUCAUUUAAGCUAGACGGUAAUGAUUAUUUCUCUUCCAGUCUAUUGAUUAGACUUCUGGCACUUAUUUUGUCAACUUACUAAGCAUUGGUGAAGCGCCAAUCUAAUUGUUCUAUUAGUGUUGUUUACUUAUUUUCAAUAGGUAGUUGACAUACGCCACAUGUGCCAUGCUCCAAGUUCAUGCCAUGUUUUGUAGAUUUUUUCUUUUAGAUCUUAAGAUGCUGUUAGAUUCUUAGAAUUGAUGAUAUGUUAAUUAGAUAAAAUCCAUUAUACUACAUAGUAAUUUCUACAUUUGUUAAUGUCAUUAACGUUUCCUGCUUUUCUAAUUUGGAUCUAGCGCUAGCAUGUUUUAAAAUCUCUAAAUCACCAAUAGUUUAGCUGUUAGCAUUCCUUGUUAAGAACUGCUAUGUCUUAAUCUUCAGUUGCCCGGGUCAUCUUCUUACAAUAUAAAUAUCUCUGAAAGCGAAAUUUCUUUCCUUGCUAGCUCUGCAUGAUUUAACGAAUUGAACUAUGGCCUAUAGAAACUCAAAAUGGUGUUGAUGCUAUCAGCGCCAGCUUUGCAUGUACUGCCUAGACAAUUGACUGAAGGCACUGGCUCACUGCAAUCUGUCGCUCCUUGGCUGAGUUAUGAUGAUUUAGGUUGAUCAAGACAGAGCAUAUCUCAGACUUCCCGGGGGAAAAAACAGAGCAUAUCAAUAGCCUGGUUGAGAGAGGGCUUUUUCAGGGUUUAACAUACUAAUAAAUGUCAUGAUGCUCAGGUGAGAUGGGAAGAUUAGGAUUGUAAAACAGGUUCAUGAUUAAAUGCUCUAGUUGUUAGUACGUUAAACUAUUAAUGGAUUUCUGUUUAAACAAAGACUUUUUCUCCAAAAAACAGAUAACUGUUCAAUCCGGUUUUGUUGCCCAAUAUUGAUAGUAUAUAUUUAGUAAACAAGAAACUAAAGGAAAAAAAAAAAGCAAAGGAGAACCAUGGUUGAUGAAUUCCAAAUGUAUUUUUUUCCGAAAAUGAAAUAAAUCACAGUUUUGGUACGCAUAUAAGUUCAUGUUGGGUUAGCAUCUUUAGUCUCGAGUUUUGACGAUUUGGCAAUUUUUUCUGUGCAUAAGAGAUAAACUACUUUGUGUUGUUAGUUGGAGACAAGGUCAACAUCGGGCGAUCAAGACUUUUUAAUUGCUUGGUACUUAAAAUCCAUGUGACUAUAUGGAUUAGUCUGACUGUCACAUGAAAGCACAUUUUAUAGGUUUGAAGAUGAAGUAAUUGAUAGUGGUCUAUCCUAAAGGUUUAGCUGCAUUGAUUGAGGAGAUAAUGGUCCUUUACUAUGAAACUGCACAUUCUUUGUCUGUAGACUUGAAAAAUCCUGGCUAACCUGUUUAGCAACGUCUUGAUGUCUUUUGAGCGAAAGAAGGGGAGAAAUGGUGUAGUUGGCCAGAAUGAUAAUGCAAGGUAGUUUGGUCCCAUUAUCCUUAAAUCUGUAAAUGGAUAAAUGAAUUGAAAAUUUGGGGUUGUGGGAAUCUUGAAACUUGUAUCUGACUGAAUCAUUUACCCAUUUCCUUUUGUUUUCCCCUGUAGCUUGGACAUUGAUAGAUGAGUGUGUGAUUUUGAUAAUCAUUAUGCUCUGUGUGUUUUAAUCUCAAGGUUAUGAAGCUCGUGUACUCCUUGGUAUGUUAUCUAGGGCUAUAUGAAAAUGCAAAUCUUUGUCUGUCAUUUUUUAUUACUGUAACUUAAAGAACUUCUUCAUACCCUCUUUGUAUUUACUCCAUGUAUUAAGGUUUUCUCAACACUCUUCCUCAGAACUGCUUCAAGGAGCCACCCUCGUUAACAUGCAUGAUACUCUUCUGGUCCUAAAUAUAAGACUUAUUUAUAAUGC